UACCAGCACCCCGAGUGGUCGGGACGAUUAUUGGGCCUAAAGCAUCCGUAGCCGGUUCUACAAGUCUUCCGUUAAAUCCACCUGCUUAACAGAUGGGCUGCGGAGGAUACUAUAGAGCUAGGAGGCGGGAGAGGCAAGCGGUACUUAGUGGGUAGGGGUAAAAUCCGUUGACCCAUUGAAGACCACCAGUGGCGAAGGCGGCUUGCCAGAACACACUCGACGGUGAGGGAUGAAAGCUGGGGGAGCAAACCGG
rnacentral:rRNA from 1 species